AAAUCUAAUAUUUACAUACCAUAUAUUUUAAAUAAAUGAAAGAUGUAUAGGUUAUAAAUAAACCUUCGAUAGAUAAUUAGCAGCGACAUUACAAUUUUCUAAGCCACCGGAUCCGUAUAGUCAUCAUUAUGUAAAGAUGAGAUUAAUUUUAUCAAGAUUUUUGGUCUUUUCCUUGUUAAGCUUAUUUUAGUCAACUUUAAGAUUCUUUUCAUAUCUGUUUUGACUUCAAAUAUAUUACAUUCUACCCUUCAAAUCAAAGAAUACAUCGAAGAUCAAGACGAGCUAAUUUUAUGAGAAGAAGGGAGGAUUGAAUCAAAAAGUCGAUCAAGACGAGCAAAGAUAAGAAGAGAAAUCACAAAAGGGUUAAUUUUUUCCUUCUCCAUAGAUCAGAUUAAUGAGAAGAAUUCACGUGUUUAUGAUUGGUUUCAAUUAUAUCUAAAAUUAAAUUCACAUGAUAACGAUGUUCUUAUACGGUGUUAGAUAUAUUUGGAAAUCUUUCGAUUCAGUAAAUUUUGUUCAAUCCAAAAGGCAAAUACUUGUGUGAGACCGGAUGUCAAUCGGGCCAACUCACCGGGUUUCAGACUAGCCCUAUCGGGUUACGGGUUAUUCAGGUACGAGCUAAUCGGGUUGAAAUUUUUUUUCGGUUAGAAACGCCAACUUCUUCAUCAACAAUUUUGGCAUUCCUCUUUGUAUGG
rnacentral:lncRNA from 1 species